rnacentral:rRNA from 1 species
UACGGGGGGGGCUAGCGUUGUUCGGAAUUACUGGGCGUAAAGGGUUCGUAGGCGGCCACUUAAGUCAGACGUGAAAUCCCUCGGCUUAACCGGGGAACUGCGUCUGAUACUGGAUGGCUUGAGUUUGGGAGAGGGACGCGGAAUUCCAGGUGUAGCGGUGAAAUGCGUAGAUAUCUGGAGGAACACCGGUGGCGAAGGCGGCGUCCUGGACAAACACUGACACUGAGGAGCGAAAGCCAGGGGAGCAAACGGG